rnacentral:sRNA from 2 species
UUAGAAGUUUUAUAGGGUUCCGCAGUUUUAAACUAAGAACUGGUCUGGUCCGAGAUAAAGCAUAUAGUUUGACUGUAUACACGGAGGGAUAAAAGCCCGGGAGAU